CCUACGGGAGGCAGCAGUGGGGAAUUUUGCGCAAUGGGGGCAACCCUGACGCAGCAACGCCGCGUGAGUGAUGAAGGCCUUCGGGUCGUAACGCUCUGUCAGAGGGGAAGAAAUGCAGGUGGUGAACAACCAUUCUGUUUGACGGUACCCUCAAAGGAAGCACCGGCUAACUCCGUGCCAGCAGCCGCGGUAAUACGGAGGGUGCGAGCGUUGUUCGGAAUUAUUGGUCGUAAAGCGCGUGUAGGCGGUUUGUUAAGUCUGAUGAGAAAGCCCCGGGCUAAACCGGGGAAGUGCAUUGGAUACUGGCAGACUUGAGUACGGGAGAGGAGAUUGGAAUUCCCAGGGUAGGAGUGAAAUCCGUAGAUAUUGGGAGGAACACCGGUGGAGAAGGCGGCUCUCUGGACCUAUACUGACGC
rnacentral:rRNA from 1 species